UACGUAGGGUGCAAGCGUUAAUCGGAAUUACUGGGCGUAAAGCGUGCGCAGGCGGUUUCGUAAGUCUGUCGUGAAAGCCCCGGGCUCAACCUGGGAAUUGCAUUCGAGACUGAAUAGCUAGGGUGCGGUAGAGGGAAGCGGAAUUUCCGGUGUAGCGGUGAAAUGCGUAGAUAUCGGAAGGAACAUCAGUGGCGAAGGCGGGUCUCUGGGCCGUAACUGACGCUGAGGAGCGAAAGCAUGGGGAGCGAACAGG
rnacentral:rRNA from 1 species